AAGAAAGCUGCAGUGAUGGUGGAUGGUCUCACUGAUUUUUCAGCCGGCUUCCAGCAGCAGCAACCUGGAGCUCCGGGUGGAGCAGGGGAGUUCCUUCUCUGCUUGGGAAGGACUGGCCCUGGCUCCCUCCGAGUAAAUCCCUAGCAGCUUCAGCGUCUAGCUGCCAGAGCCCGGGUAGAAAAGCGAAGCUGGGAGACUCCUGGGCCAGAGCCGGAGAAUGAGCGUCCCGCUGGCUGCCAGGUUCAUGGACCCACUGAAAACUAUUCACAGAUUCCCUUCUGGAUCCAGAAGUCUUACCUCCAUCCCCAUGAAAAUGAUCUCUAAAAUUCUUCCCAGUUGAAAAAAAUCUAUGCUCCUAUGUGUAUAUAUUGUCUCUUUAACUAGGACUUAUAAACUCUUCAGUGCUAGCUGAGAUGUCUUAUUAUCCUUCUUUGGAUUUCCAAUGUGUUGAGUCACAAAACCUCACAUUUUUACAGUUGGUCAAGUUUUCUUCACAAUUUUGUAAUGUAAGGAUUCUUAUUAUCCCUAUUUUACAGAUGAAGAAACUAGGCCUCAGGGAAAUUUGGUGACUUGCCCAAGAUUUCCAAAUUAAUAAGUAUUGUAGGCAGGUAUUUCAAUUACAAGUCCAAUACUCUAUUCACUACAUCAUGUCAGCAAACAGAACUUGGUGAAAUUGUCAAUGAUGAUUGAUAGUGAUGGAAAGGGGAAAGAGUUCUAUUGGUUUGAAAGAAAACAUUGGUCUUUGUGUGGCUAUAUAUGUGCGUGAAUUUGUGUGUGUGUGUGUGUGUGUGUGUGUGUGUGUGUGUGUCUGUCUGUCUGUCUGUCUUUGUGUGAGCUGAAGAAUAUUAUUGUCAUAAGGGAUCUCAAAGAUCAUCUAACCCAAACCUCUCAUCUUUCACAGAAGGGAAAAUAAGACCAAGAGAGGACAUAGGAUUUGUCUCAGAACAUAAAGUUUAGUUAGUAGGAGAACCAACUUGAAUCAAGCUUUCCUAACUGUGAAGCUAAUAUUUUUCCAACAACAUUAUGUGGUUUCUCCCAAUGCUUCUGUUCAAUUUUUUCCCAUGAGGCAAUUGGGGUUAAGUGACUUAUCCAGGGCCACACAUCAAGUGUUUGGGUUGAUUUGAAUUCAGGUCCUCCUUAUUUAAGGGCUGGUAUUUUAUCCAUUGAACUACCUAAUUGUCCCAUAAAUCAACUUUUAAUAAACAGGUUAUUCACUUUUUCUGUUUAUCAUUCCAAAUUCUCAGUCUUACACUCUUUCCCUACCUUCCAGUUGGUGUGAUUUUGGAGAAUGAAUACUAGCUUUAUUCUCAGUCCAAGCCAAAUAGGAGGAGGAGGAGGAGGCUGAAGCUUCUGCCCACGCAAUCAGACAAAAGUCACUGCCGUCAAAGAGGUUUGCCUGACUGUUGCUAGCUUGUAGAAGAAAAAGGCACAUCCCCAGCUCUUGCUUAUAUGGGUCACCAGUUCAAGGCUAGCCUUCAUCUUUCUAGUAAUUCCAAACUUCAUCUGUAUGGCUAUUUUAGUCUUAUUUUGACUUGAGUGUGUGAAGUAUCGUGUCUUGUAGGACAUUUUGGUACUUAGGAGGACCUGUGAUCUCAUCAGUGUGGAAGCUCUCUCCAAUUCCAGAAUGAAUCCCAUCCAUUGUCUCACCUGUAGCAACUUGUGCUUCUGUUUUCCCAUGAAUCCUCUGCAGCAGAUUCUCUAGGAUGCUGAAUGGAUCCCAAGGGAAAUCAAUGACAAGCUAUCAGCCUAGGGCAUAAUUCUGGUCACUGAAUAUUUACUGAGCACCUACCAGUAAAAUACCGUGUUAAUUUCUGGUUAUAUUGUUGAGUUCUUUUGGUGGGAGCAAGGGAAGAUGUGGGGUACAUUAAAGACCUGUGAUUUAAUUGAUCUAGGGAUUAAACUGAGUUUGUCCCAAAAGAUUUAAUAACAUCAUGGCACCCUGGAAGGAAUGCUUGAUUUGGAGCAAGAUGUUCUCAGUUU